GACGAACGCUGGCGGCGUGCUUAACACAUGCAAGUCGAACGGAAAGGCCCUGCUUUUGUGGGGUGCUCGAGUGGCGAACGGGUGAGUAACACGUGAGUAACCUGCCCUUGACUUUGGGAUAACUUCAGGAAACUGGGGCUAAUACCGGAUAGGAGCUCCUGCUGCAUGGUGGGGGUUGGAAAGUUUCGGCGGUUGGGGAUGGACUCGCGGCUUAUCAGCUUGUUGGUGGGGUAGUGGCUUACCAAGGCUUUGACGGGUAGCCGGCCUGAGAGGGUGACCGGCCACAUUGGGACUGAGAUACGGCCCAGACUCCUACGGGAGGCAGCAGUGGGGAAUAUUGCACAAUGGGCGGAAGCCUGAUGCAGUAACGCCGCGUGCGGGAUGACGGCCUUCGGGUUGUAAACCGCUUUCACCUGUGACGAAGCGUGAGUGACGGUAAUGGGUAAAGAAGCACCGGCUAACUACGUGCCAGCAGCCGCGGUGAUACGUAGGGUGCGAGCGUUGUCCGGAUUUAUUGGGCGUAAAGGGCUCGUAGGUGGUUGAUCGCGUCGGAAGUGUAAUCUUGGGGCUUAACCCUGAGCGUGCUUUCGAUACGGGUUGACUUGAGGAAGGUAGGGGAGAAUGGAAUUCCUGGUGGAGCGGUGGAAUGCGCAGAUAUCAGGAGGAACACCAGUGGCGAAGGCGGUUCUCUGGGCCUUUCCUGACGCUGAGGAGCGAAAGCGUGGGGAGCGAACAGGCUUAGAUACCCUGGUAGUCCACGCUGUAAACGGUGGGUACUAGGUGUGGGGUCCAUUCCACGGGUUCCGUGCCGUAGCUAACGCUUUAAGUACCCCGCCUGGGGAGUACGGCCGCAAGGCUAAAACUCAAAGGAAUUGACGGGGCCCCGCACAAGCGGCGGAGCAUGCGGAUUAAUUCGAUGCAACGCGUAGAACCUUACCUGGGUUUGACAUGGAUCGGGAGUGCUCAGAGAUGGGUGUGCCUCUUUUGGGGUCGGUUCACAGGUGGUGCAUGGCUGUCGUCAGCUCGUGUCGUGAGAUGUUGGGUUAAGUCCCGCAACGAGCGCAACCCUUGUUCACUGUUGCCAGCACGUUAUGGUGGGGACUCAGUGGAGACCGCCGGGGUCAACUCGGAGGAAGGUGGGGAUGACGUCAAGUCAUCAUGCCCCUUAUGUCCAGGGCUUCACGCAUGCUACAAUGGCUGGUACAGAGAGUGGCGAGCCUGUGAGGGUGAGCGAAUCUCGGAAAGCCGGUCUCAGUUCGGAUUGGGGUCUGCAACUCGACCUCAUGAAGUCGGAGUCGCUAGUAAUCGCAGAUCAGCAACGCUGCGGUGAAUACGUUCCCGGGGCU
rnacentral:rRNA from 1 species